rnacentral:rRNA from 1 species
UACGUAGGGUGCGAGCGUUAAUCGGAAUUACUGGGCGUAAAGCGUGCGCAGGCGGUUCGUUAAGUUCGUUGUGAAAGCCCCGGGCUCAACCUGGGAACUGCAAUGGAAACUGGCGGGCUUGAGUGUGGCAGAGGGGGGUGGAAUUCCUGGUGUAGCGGUGAAAUGCGCAGAUAUCAGGAAGAACACCUAUGGCGAAGGCAGCACUCUGGGACGGUACUGACGCUGAGACGCGAAAGCGUGGGGAGCGAAACAGGAUUAGA